UUUUCAGCCAUCUGGACUCAGCUGAGUCACUACAGAGGAAACAAUGAGCUCAACACAGAAGGACCAACAUGGAGCGAGAAGUCAGCGCUCUCAGGAGGCCGACAAACCUCACAGAAGAAAGAGAGAGAAAA